UCUCCUGCCCUACUCAUCUGAAUCUUAUACUUAACACGAAUAGAACCACACUGUAGGGUGCUUUGAACUUAGACUUUUCUGGUAGUGUGGAGAAUUAAAAAAAAAAAAAAUCAAGAUCAUUAAAUGUCCUUUGCUGAACUGUGCGUUGUGGCUGCACACGCCCUUGAGCAAGGUACCAAGAUUUGUUUGACUGACUCCUUAGUAUUAAGCAUUCUGAUGCUAAUAAAGAUAAAAUGGGAGAGGUUGAUCCAGGGCUUCUCCUCACAGCUCGAUCUUGGAUCCAGUAGCUCCCUUCUGAGAACAUGGUGAAAGGAGACUUGGGGGCAUACUUCCAAGAACUUCUGAAAUAUCAGCCAAGUUGCCUUCCUUGUGGAAGUGCCCAUUCCCCACAAAGUUUUCACCUACCUGAUAAAUGGGUGACAGAGGACGCAGACCCAACUGUUGUCCAUCAAGCCUAGCUCCUUGACUGCCCGGCUGAGGUGGGAAGGAAUCGCUUGCACAGGCAUGAGACAAUGCUAGCCCUGGAGCAUAGGCAUCAGGACCCAAGGUUGGCCCCAGGUUCUCAGCAUUGGAGACAUCAUGGACAUGGGCACAGGUCUGAAAGAUCUGUGAUCUGUUAGGCAACCUGGGAAACGGCUCUGAUUCCAGCUUCAUAUGAUGUUGCCACUUAAGUUGUGUGAUCUUUGGGCUUCUCACCACUGUUUUCUAGGACCCAUAGACAGAAGAAAUGGAGACUAAUAAUGUCUCCUGUGCCCUUCCCCUAGCCUUGAGCAGGCUGCUCAGACCUGACUUGCUACAGCAGGCUAGCCCACCUAGGGUGGAAUCUUAGACCUAGGUAAAGUCUAUUGUCCUGCCACACCUGCAGCUUUCCUCCAAGACGCCACUACCUCCUAAGAGGCUGAACCUGUUCUCCAGACACUAUCCUGAUGCAACAACCCCCUUUAUAAGCUCAGACUCAUAAGUAAACAUUGGCCUUGAUCAGAACUUUGUCUUGGCUCGUUAUUUCUCUCGCAGCCUUUCCCAUCCAAAACCCCAUGUUUCCUUUCAGGAACCCGGGAACCCAUGGCUGCAGGCAGCUACAGUCUCCUUGAAAGGAAAUUAAAUAAAAUGAAAGGUUUAAACUAAAAAGGCCUGGGUGCAGGCCCUGCCAGCCGGGAAGUACCUGGGAGCCAAGGAUCAUCUCCUGAUCCUUCUCCUGCCUUCUGCCAUGGAGGAGUGGGAGCAGAGACGCCUUCACCUUCAGUGCAGCUCCCAGGCAUUCUGCUACGGACGGAGCCCCACUGCCCAU
rnacentral:lncRNA from 1 species